UGGGGUAUCGCCAAGCGGUAAGGCAAAGGACUUUGACUCCUUCACUCGGUGGUUCGAAUCUACCUACCCCAGCCA
rnacentral:tRNA from 1 species